rnacentral:lncRNA from 1 species
AUCAUUAUGUAGUGGUUUCUCAGAGACUUGAAUGAAGGGCAUCUGGAUCCAGAGUGCCAGCUCUUAACCACCAUGUUAUGCUGAGUCUUCUAUUUGAGCUGUUGUGAAAUGGGUUGAAUUCUUGAUUUGAUUCUUGGCUUGAAGUCUGCAUAGCCAAAGCAAGACUAAGCAAAAAGAACAAAUCUGGAGGUAUCACAUUACCCAACUUCAAACUACUACAAGGCUGUAGCUACUGAAACAGGAUGGCAAAGGCAUAAAAACAGACAUGUGGACCAAUGGAACAGAAUCCAGAUUCCAGAAAUAAAGCCAAAUACUUAUUGCCAACUGAUCUUUGACAAAGCAAACAAAAACAUAAAGUGGAGAAAGGACACCCUAUUCAACCAGUGGUGCUGGGAUAAUUGACAAGUCACUUGUAGUACAAUGGUACUGAAUCCACAUCUCUCGACUUAUAAAAAAGAAUCUACUUAAGAUGGAUGAAAAAAUUAAACCUAAGACCUGAAACAAUAAAAAUUCUAGGACAGAACAUCAGAAAGUCUCUUCUAGACAUUGGCUUAACAAGGACUUCAUGAGCAAGAACCCAAAAGGAAGUGCAACAAAAACAAAGAUAAAUAGAUGUGACUUAAUUAAACUAAAAAGCUUCUGCACAGCAAAAGAAAUAAUCAGCUGAAUAAACAGACAACUCACAGAAUGGGAGAAAAUAUUCACAAACUAUGUACCUGACAAAGGACUAAUAUUCAGAAUCUACGAAAAUUCAAACAGACGAGAGAAAAACAAAUAAUAUCAUCAAAAAUUAGGCUAAGAUCAUGAAUUGACAAUUCUCAAAAGAAAAUAUACAAAUGGACAACAAACAUAAAAAAAAUGCUCAACAUCACUAAUUAUCAUGGAAAUGCAAAUCAAAACCACAAUGCAAUACUACUGUCCUCCUGUAAGAAUGGACAUCAUUAAAAAAAAACAGAAAAUAAUACAAUAUUGGCAUGGAUGUAGUAAAAAGGAACACUUUUACACUACUGGUGGGAAUGUAAACUAGUACAACCACUAUAGAAAACAGUAUGGACAUUCCUUAAGAACUAAAAGUAGAUCUACAUUUUUACCCAGCUAUCCUACUACUGGAUAUCUACACAGAAAAAAAGAAGUCAUUAUUUGCAAAGACUUAUGCAAAUCUUUACAGCAGUACAAUUCCCAACUGUAAAAAUAUGGAACAAACCUAAAUGCCCAUCAACCAAUGGGUGGAUAAAGAAAAUAUGAUAUGUAUGUAUGUGUGUGUAUAUAUAUAUAUAUACA